AUCCUUUUCGAAGCUCCUUAAAGCCCAAGACACUUGAGGCCUUAAUUUUGUUACAAAAUUGGUUACGAACACCAAUAGACAUGGAUUCAUCUACCCUUGGAGUCGAGGAGGAGGAGAUUGAUAUUGCUGAGUCUGAGCUAUUCAGUUUCAGUGACCUUGCUUCUUCUUCUAUCGUCAUAGACUCAUAGACAAGGCUUUCAGCCAUUCGGAGGUAAAACAUCCACAAACUUGCAGGCUUGCAGCGACUCGCUGUUGGUCGCUUUAUAUGAUA